GAAAUGCGAUAAGUAAUGUGAAUUGCAGAAUUCAGUGAAUCAUCGAAUCUUUGAACGCACCUUGCGCUCCUUGGUAUUCCGAGGAGCAUGCUUGUUUGAGUGUCAUGGUCUUCUCAACCCUCCAGUUUUUUGUUAUCAAAGGCUGUUGGGCUUGGAUGUGGAGGUUCUGCGGGCAUCUGAAUUUUUGGUUCAGGAGUCGGCUCCUCUGAAAUGCAUUAGCUUGAAUAGAACCAAGCAUGAUUCAGCGUGAUAAUUGUCUACGUUGCUUCGUCUCGGUGAACUUAAUGUUCUAGCUUCUAACUGUCCCUCAGGACAAUCUCUGAACAUCUGACCUCAAAUCAAGUAGGACUACCCGCUGAACUUAA
rnacentral:rRNA from 1 species